rnacentral:misc_RNA from 1 species
AGAUGAGAAUGUGGCAAGAGAGAUAAUAAACCAUCGAUCACUUCGGCAUCCAAAUAUAAUUCGUUUCAAGGAGGUUGUUUUGACCCCAACGCAUUUGGCUAUUGUGAUGGAAUAUGCUGCUGGGGGAGAGCUGUUUGAAAGAAUUUGUAAUGCUGGCCGUUUCAGUGAAGAUGAGGCUAGAUAUUUUUUCCAGCAGCUAAUUUCUGGUGUCAAUUAUUGCCAUUCAAUGCAAAUAUGUCACAGGGACCUAAAGCUAGAAAAUACACUUUUA